rnacentral:rRNA from 1 species
UACGGAGGGGACUAGCGUUGUUCGGAAUUACUGGGCGUAAAGCGCGCGUAGGCGGAUUUGCAAGUCGGGGGUGAAAGCCCGAGGCUCAACCUCGGAACUGCCCUCGAUACUGCAAAUCUCGAGUCCGAGAGAGGUGAGUGGAAUUCCUAGUGUAGAGGUGAAAUUCGUAGAUAUUAGGAAGAACACCAGUGGCGAAGGCGGCUCACUGGCUCGGUACUGACGCUGAGGUGCGAAAGCGUGGGGAGCAAACAGG